AAACACAAGCUAGGUGAUACCACAAACACAAGCCAGGUGACACCACAAACACAAGCUAGGUGACACCACAAACACAAGCUAGGUGACACCACAAACACAAGCUAGGUGACACCACAAACACAAGCUAGGUGACACCACAAACACAAGCUAGGUGAUACCACAAACACAAGCUAGGUGAUACCACAGACACAAGCUAGGUGACACCACAAACACAAGCUAGGUGACACCACAAACACAAGCUAGGUGAUACCACAGACACAAGCUAGGUGACACCACAAACACAAGCUAGGUGACACCACAAACACAAGCUAGGUGACACCACAGACACAAGCUAGGUGAUACCACAAACACAAGCUAGGUGACACCACAAACACAAGCUAGGUGACACCACAAACACAAGCUAGGUGACACCACAAACACAAGCUAGGUGACACCACAAACACAAGCUAGGUGAUACCACAAACACAAGCUAGGUUAUACCACAAACACAAGCCAGGUGAUACCACAAACACAAGCUAGGUGACACCACAAACACAAGCUAGGUGACACCACAAACACAAGCUAGGUGACACCACAAACACAAGCUAGGUGAUACCACAAACACAAGCUAGGUGACACCACAAACACAAGCUAGGUGACACCACAAACACAAGCUAGGUGACACCACAAACACAAGCUAGGUGACACCACAUACACAAGCUAGGUGAUACCACAAACACAAGCUAGGUGACACCACAUACACAAGCUAGGUGAUACCACAAACACAAGCUAGGUGAUACCACAAACACAAGCUAGGUGACACCACAAACACAAGCUAGGUGACACCACAUACACAAGCUAGGUGAUACCACAAACACAAGCUAGGUGACACCACAAACACAAGCUAGGUGACACCACAUACACAAGCUAGGUGACACCACAAACACAAGCUAGGUGACACCACAAACACAAGCUAGGUGACACCACAAACACAAGCUAGGUGACACCACAAACACAAGCUAGGUGACACCACAAACACAAGCUAGGUGACACCACAAACACAAGCUAGGUGACACCACAAACACAAGCUAGGUGACACCACAAACACAAGCUAGGUGACACCACAAACACAAGCUAGGUGACACCACAAACACAAGCUAGGUGACACCACAAACACAAGCUAGGUGAUACCACAAACACAAGCUAGGUGACACCACAGACACAAGCUAGGUGACACCACAAACACAAGCUAGGUGACACCACAAACACAAGCUAGGUGAUACCACAAACACAAGCUAGGUGAUACCACAAACACAAGCUAGGUGACACCACAAACACAAGCUAGGUGACACCACAAACACAAGCUAGGUGAUACCACAAACACAAGCUAGGUGAUACCACAAACACAAGCUAGGUGACACCACAUAAGCACACAUACAUGCACGCACACA